GGCCUAAUAGCAUAACGGUUAGUGUGCCUGCUCUCGGUACGUUAGCAAAGCAUCUCAUGCAGGAGGUCCCUGUUCGAUUCGGGGUUAGGUCA